rnacentral:rRNA from 1 species
UACGGGGGGGGCAAGCGUUGUUCGGAAUUACUGGGCGUAAAGGGCUCGUAGGCGGCCAACUAAGUCAGACGUGAAAUCCCCAGGCUCAACCUGGGAACUGCGUCUGAUACUGGAUGGCUUGAAUUCGGGAGAGGGAUGCAGAAUUCCAGGUGUAGCGGUGAAAUGCGUAGAUAUCAGGAGGAACACCAAUGGCGAAGGCAGCUCGCUGGGACGGUACUGACGCUGAGACGCGAAAGCGUGGGGAGCAAACAGG